rnacentral:snRNA from 1 species
AGCUUUGCGCAGUGGCAGUAUCGUAGCCAAUGAGGUUUAUCCGAGGCGCGAUUAUUGCUAAUUAAAUGUUACACUAUUUUAGUUUUGGUCUAACAAAAAAGUACUGAGUCUUUACUAAGCACUGAUGCU